UUUUGGGGAUUCUUGAUGAUUCUUCUGAGCCCUUGGGUCAGGGAGCACAACUGCGGUUUCUGGACCAGAUCUGCCGUGGGCAGCCUUUGUCUUUGGACGCCUUCAUUUGAGUUUGUACAUGGCGCAGCCCUUGGUUCUUGGAGAAAGUCCCAGCUUCCUUGGAGCAAAGCAGCUCUUGAGGUAAGAAGGACUAAUCCCCAAGUACCCCACCUGGAAGAUCACCCCUCCAUCUGAGACCUCUCACCAGAGGCUCAGAACAGAGGCAGAAAAGGCCCAGGAAAGACUAUUCUAGAACUGCCUGGACAGAAGUAAUUCUUGGUCCUUCUACACAGAAUGAGCAACACUUGGUGAUGUCCCCACAUCCAGAAGCAAUUCCAGACUGUCCAGUGAUCAGCUUUCAGAACUGAGAUGAGGCUGGCAGCGUUGCCAAGGGCACUUCACUGGAGGCUCUGUGAGGACACAGUCCAGGGAAAGGAGUCACCACCCAUAGAAGGGGAAAUUGCCCCUUUGCCUGCCCUCAUCAGUCCCAGUCCUUUCACUCUGCAUUUACUCUCUACACAGCCUAGAGAGAUGCACCAUUGCUCCUUCUGUUCUGAUGGUAAAAAAUCAAAUAAGUAAUGUACAAAAAGAGUUUCAAGAUUUUUUUAUUUUGCCUUUAUUUGAGAGGUGGAAAAAAAAAAAAACGGGCCUAGAAGGUAAGUAACUUGUUUAGAAUCACAUAACUCUUAGUGGCAUGCCCAGAGAACUCGUUGCUGUCCACUCUUAACAAUUAAGUCACAUCAAGUUUUUUAUUAAAAGAUCCUUUUGAGAAACUAACCACGUUAGAAUAAACAAAGUACCUCAUCCCUUUCCAGGGGAUGUUGAUGAGGAUUUUGUAACUCAAGGGGCAAACACUGUCACUAGGAAUGCAGAGAAACAGUACAGCCAGGGCUGGCUGGUUUGUUUGCUUGCUUGCUUGCUUUUAUUUACUUAUAUUUUUGCAGUUUAGUUUUAAUGAAGGCACAGUCUUCUCUGUAUUGCACUUUGUUUAAUUAGUCCUCUGUUUUUAAUUUUUCUUUUAGUCAGUGGGAGGGGAAAAUUCUUUAUAAAUUAGUAGGAAAUGUUUACAUUAAUCCCAUGAAAAAUCACAUUCUAAGCUCUCUGUGACCAUCAGAGUCAGCAUAGACAUAUGGGUGCUCCUUCACAGGGUCUAUCCUGUCCUUCUAGGAGUUAAAGGGACACUGACCCUCAGGGGCCUUAUAGGCAGCUGCUGCGUGAAGCUUGAAAAGCAGAUGAGUCUGAGAGCCGCGCCACAGGCCC